AUUUUUAAAUACCAUUGUCACCUCCUUUGAUUUCUAAAAAAAAAAUCAAUAAUGAAAUCUAUGGAGAGUUUGUAAUAAUGCUGUUGAAUGGAAGACUGAACAUUUUAUUUUCUCCAGUAAUGGAUUUUUACAUCUAUACUGUGCGAGCAAAGGUUCCUGUCUUUUAUAAAAGUAUCUAGCUGUCAAGAAUAUUUGAAAUGAGCAAAAUGUCUCUGCAACAUUUUGCUUUACAUGCGACAAACAAGCAUUUUCCAGUAGAAUUUACUAGACUAGCAUUGGGAGCAGAAAUUCCAGAUCACUUUCUUCCUCUCCAGGACAAUGCUGCAUUCAAUUAACGGUUACAUCUUGAUUAAGGUGGUCAAGAACUGUAGUCUCAGGACAAGGCUAAGACUGCAACAGCCAACUAACAUGUCAAGGGAAAGAAAUGGAGCCAAAGAAAACAUCUUAGAUUUAGUCAAAAGGAAAACUGGAUUCAGCAACAAACUUUGGGCAUGGGUUUCCCCAGUCAGACACAACCAUCUGGACAAAAUCUGGGAGAAAGUGUGCAAAUGUAUGGAGUUAAGUGGAUGGAAAGUCUGUAUAGAUCAUCUAUUACUGAAGAAAGAUUUCCAAGAUAUGUAAAGUUAUGUGGGAUAGAAGAUGUGCUGAAAAAGGACAUCACAGGUAAAUAUGAGGAAGCAACUUGAGAUAAUGCAACUGACAGUCUAAACAAGAUAAUACUGGUGAAUUUUGGAUCAUGUGUCAAUAUCUCGAGAAGACAGAAAAGCUACACUAGCCACACCAGUGACACGCAGAAUGUCCCACAGAGUCAGAGGAUCCAUAAAGCAGCUGGACUUGUAAAUUUUGUAAAUAUGUAUAGAGAUACACAUGGAGUUGAAUAUAACAUUUUUCUUUUUUUCAUUUCUAACAAUAAAAGAGAAGCAGUAGGUCAAUUUGUUGAUGAUAUCAUUAAUAAUGCCUCUGCUAAAUGGCUGUAUUUGUGGCAGCUAGCUGUUAGAAGGAGACAUCAAAUAAACUGCCACACCUCAUUUAAAGUCCUGAAUCUGGGAUAUUUCCUACAGCACAUCUUGCUAAGAUCUCACCAGGAAUCAGCUGUAAUAGAACCAAACCCAUCCAAUUCCCUCUACCAGUA